UCCCUGGUGGCUCAGAGGUUAAAGCAUCUGCCUGGAAUGCAGGAGAUCCCGGAUUCGAUCCCUGGGUUGGGAA
rnacentral:tRNA from 1 species